rnacentral:rRNA from 1 species
GGGGAAUAUUGCACAAUGGGCGAAAGCCUGAUGCAGCAACGCCGCGUGAGUGAUGAAGGUCUUCGGAUUGUAAAGCUCUGUCUUUGGGGACGAUAAUGACGGUACCCAAGGAGGAAGCCACGGCUAACUACGUGCCAGCAGCCGCGGUAAUACGUAGGUGGCAAGCGUUGUCCGGAUUUACUGGGCGUAAAGGGUGCGUAGGCGGAUGUUUAAGUGGGAUGUGAAAUACCUGGGCUUAACUUGGGUGCUGCAUUCCAAACUGGAUAUCUAGAGUGCGGGAGAGGAAAGUGGAAUUCCUAGUGUAGCGGUGAAAUGCGUAGAGAUUAGGAAGAACACCAGUGGCGAAGGCGACUUUCUGGACCGUAACUGACGCUGAGGCACGAAAGCGUGGGGAGCAAAC